rnacentral:rRNA from 1 species
UGCAGUCGAGCGAUGGAUUAAGAGCGUUGCUCUUAGGAAGUUAGCGGCGGACGGGUGAGUAACACGUGGGUAACCUGCCCAUAAGACUGGGAUAACUCCGGGAAACCGGGGCUAAUACCGGAUAACAUUUUGAACUGCAUGGAUCGAAAUUGAAAGGCGGCUUCGGCUGUCACUUAUGGAUGGACCCGCGUCGCAUUAGCUAGUUGGUGAGGUAACGGCUCACCAAGGCAACGAUGCAUAACCGACCUGAGAGGGUGAUCGGCCACACUGGGACUGAGACACGGCCCAGACUCCUACGGGAGGCAGCAGUAGGGAAUCUUCCGCAAUGGACGAAAGUCUGACGGAGCAACGCCGCGUGAGUGAUGAAGGCUUUCGGGUCGUAAAACUCUGUUGUUAGGGAAGAACAAGUGCUAGUUGAAUAAGCUGGCACCUUGACGGUACCUAACCAGAAAGCCACGGCUAACUACGUGCCAGCAGCCGCGGUAAUACGUAUGUGGCAAGCGUUAUCCGGAAUUAUUGGGCGUAAAGCGCGCGCAGGUGGUUUCUUAAGUCUGAUGUGAAAGCCCACGGCUCAACCGUGGAGGGUCAUUGGAAACUGGGAGACUUGAGUGCAAAGAGGAAAGUGGAAUUCCAUGUGUAGAGGUGAAAUGCGUAGAGAUAUGGAGGAACACAAGUGGCGAAGGCGACUUUCUGGUCUGUAACUGACACUGAGGCGCGAAAGCGUAGGGAGCAAACAGGAUUAGAUACCCUGGUAG